rnacentral:rRNA from 1 species
UAGUCCACGCCGUAAACGAUGUUAACUCGCUGUUGGCGAUAUACUGUCAGCGGCCAAGCGAAAGCGUUAAGUUAACCACCUGGGGAGUACGCCCGCAAGGGUGAAACUCAAAGGAAUUGACGGGGGCCCGCACAAGCGGAGGAGCAUGUGGUUUAAUUCGAUGAUACGCGAGGAACCUUACCUGGACUUAAAUGGUGAACGACGGUUUCAGAAAUGAAACUUUCUUUUAGACGUUUAUCAAGGUGCUGCAUGGUUGUCGUCAGCUCGUGCCGUGAGGUGUUGGGUUAAGUCCCGGCAACGAGCGCAACCCCGUACUGUUAGUUGCUACCAGGUAAUGCUGGGCACUCUAGCGGAACUGCCGGUGUUAAACCGGAGGAAGGUGGGGAUGACGUCAAGUCCUCAUGGCCCUUAUGUCUGGGGCUACACACGUACUACAAUGGUAGGUACAAAGGGUUGCGAAGCCGCGAGGUGGAGCUAAUCGUCAGAAAACCUAUCUCAGUUCGGAUAGGAGUCUGCAACUCGACUCCUUGAAGUCGG